GACGAAGGGGGCUAGCGUUGUUCGGAAUUACUGGGCGUACAGCGCGUGUAGGCGGUUGUUCAAGUCAGGUGUGAAAGCCUUGAGCUCAACUCAAGAAAUGCACUUGAUACUGGAUGACUAGAGGACCGGAGAGGAUAGUGGAAUUCCCAGUGUAGUGGUGAAAUACGUAGAGAUUGGGAAGAACACCAGUGGCGAAGGCGGCUAUCUGGACGGUUUCUGACGCUAAGACGCGAAAGCGUGGGGAGCAAACAGG
rnacentral:rRNA from 1 species